UAUUGCUAUACAAAGAGCCAAUUAUUACAUCAGAACUGAAUAGUAUACCGACUUCUUGGCAUUGUAUAUUCCAAAAUAAUCCUGUCGCUGAUAUAUACUAUAUUUUGAUUUGAAGCAAACGCCCGAAUUCACUAAAAUACUCCCACAAGGGGCGCAUAUUCUAACAGACGUAUUACUGACAGAUCGCGCGUGCAACCCGCGCGCAAGAUAUCAUCCAAGCGUGGGCAGACCCAGGCCAGAGGACCCAGGCAUUAACAUGCCUGAGUUAAAAUUUCUCGGGGUUUUCAUAUUGAUUUGUUGUCUUUCGCGGGCGAGAAUACCGUGCACGACUUUUAAAUCUUUGAACAAAUGGUCAAAAGUCGAAAAAAUAUAAAAAAAACAACGAGAUUUUACUGCAAAAACCUCGAAAAGCAAAAAUUUUUUUCAUAAAACCAGGGGGGGAUGAAAAUUGUAGCGGGCUCAGAAUUGAGCCUGGUCAGCGGUAAUUCCAUGAGCCGGAGGAACCAGUUGUCAUGGAAAUGGCGUCAUAUGGCGCGAAAAUCCGCCAUGUUUUUGCGGACACUUUUUGUGCCGAGCACCAGUGCCGAGCAUUGAACUAUAAAUAAACUGGAAGGCUAACUCAGGGGGGGAAAUUGAAGCCAGUGCAUUUUAGUUUUUCUGAGUUAUGAGCAGAAAUACUCAACACUGAACGUUGGGCUAUAUAUCAAAUUGAAGCUAUUGAAAAAUGCUAUUUGGUGUAGAAAUUUCAAGACUUUAGCUAAAAGGGAAAUAUUGAAAAACUACAAACAUAAUUACCGAUAAUUUGCCGUUUUGCAGUUGUUUUUGUAUUUUUUAAAUAUUUUUCUUUUCGCUGAAGUCUUGAAAUUUCCACACCGAAUAGCAAUUUUCAAUAGCUUCAAUUUGAUAUAUAGUCCGACGUUUGGGGUCAAGUAUUUCUGCUCAUAACUCAGAAAAACUAUUUUGGCUUCAUCAAAUCAUAGGCCUUUAUCAUAGCAUAGGCAGCCCAAAACGGCGUGUAGAAUGCGCCAAUAAUGCUUCCAAAUGUCAAUUUGCAUUAAGCUCGCCCCAUUCCUUUGUCAUUUGUCGCGCGCCGCAAGCACUCAAUUUGAAAAGCAGUGUUGAUAUAUAUAGAUUAUACCAAAUUAUAUAGUUACAGUAUUAAAAACGCUAUAAAAUAAGUUCAUACCUAUAACUUUUCUGAGCUUCACAACGAAGCGUGCUCGCAUUACAUAUCGCCGUCUUUUUUAUAGCACAUUUUCUUCGCCAUUAUUGCUCAGAAUUUCAUGACAUUUCGUGUACAUGUAGC